rnacentral:lncRNA from 1 species
GCUGCGGAAAACAGUGCCCGAGGCUCCAGCUGCCCUCUCUUUGUCCCCUCAGGACACAGAGAAGACCAGGGGGCCAUGCUGGCAGGGGAUUGAAUUGCAGGAGAAUGGGGGAGACCCCUUGUUCAACAGAGCUCUGUUCGUUUCGCUCUCACUAAAGGGUGAGUGGUUACCUGGAGGUCCAUGUCGUACCGGAAGACAGAAGCUGCCCUCUGCCUUAGCCACACUGCACUGUCCCCUGGCACACACACCCUCCUGUCACUGAGGAAGGAGAAACGCAAGAUGCCACAUGCACACCCAAGUCGGCUCGCCUGGGGCGGGGGCUGCCGCACGCGGGGCCGGAUCCUCGGUGCUGCAGGAAGCCAAGGCCAGGGGCUGAGCUGCACACGCCUCAGCUUGCCCAGGGGGAGGGCAAACUCCAGUUUCCCUUCCAACUUUUUCUUUCAAGGAAGGGGAGACAAGGCACGGGCAUUCCCCGCCCUGGACGCAGUACACCCACCCACCGGCUGCUGCCCGCGGCACCCUCGACAGGGCUGGGGGCCGGGCCACGGGGGCUCCUGUCUCUCGGAUGCCCAGGCAGCCAUCAAGGCUCUUCUGCAGUGCAAGAGCUGGGCUUGGCACCAACGUCCCAGCCCGGCACACGCCAGAACCUUCCCAGACAGAAAACUAAGCCCUAGGAGAAGAAAUGCCUUCCCUGGAGUCGCGAAGCCAGCAGCUCGCUCCCGACAUGGACGCUGGACAGCCUCUGGCAACACCCCACCUGGUGGAUCCUCAGAGCCCGCACCUGCAAAAUGAGCUUCACGUGGGUCCUGGUGGGGGUGGGUGAGGUGGUGACGCCAAGGCACUCAACGGCCGGGGGGGGGGGGCUUCUUCCUCAUCCCCAGCUCCAGCUGUGUUUUUCACUCCCUGCACAGCCUGGAAUCUCGGGAGUGCAGGACCCAGAGCCGCACGGGCCAGCAGGAAACCAGCUCAUUUCUAACUCUCUGGGUCAUCCACAGACAGCCGGCUGUGCCCCCUGAGCCUCUCCAAAACUGAAAUCCCAGCAGUCCCGUGCCCUCCAAGGACGCAGCUGGUCAAGCCAUUUGUGGGGCCCACUUCAAAACACAAACGUGGAAGUAUGAUUAAGAAUUCGGGACACUGGGGCCAGCGCUGUGGCGUAACGGGUAAAAGCUGCCACCUGCAGUGCCGGCACCCCAUAGAGGCACUGGUUCAAGUCCUGGCUGCUCCACUUCUGAUCCAGCUCUCUGCUAUAGCCUGGGAAAGCAGCAGAAGACGGCCCAAGUCCUUGGGCCCCUGCACCCAUGUGGGAGACCUGGAAGAAGCUCCUGGCUCCUGGCUUCAGAUUGGUGCAGCUCUGGCCAUUGUGGCCACUUGGGGAGUGAAUCAGUGGAUGGAAGACCUCUCUCUCUCUCUCUCUCUCUCUCUCUCUCUGCCUCUCCUUCUCUCUGUGUGUUACUCUGACUUUCAAAUAAAUAAAGAAAUCUUUGGGGGAAAAAAAGAAUU